rnacentral:lncRNA from 1 species
AUGGCACACCUACCCGUGAGGUUUGAGCUCAGCUGUGCAGUGCAGGUUUGCCUCCUGUCCACCCACACAGUCACCUGGAGACAGCAAUGCUUUCCCCUGAUUAAGGAGACACCUGAGACUAUUCAGAAGAUUAAGUCAGGAGAGACAAACCCCUCCUGGGAUGCGUGCCUGCGGGAUGCUGAGCCGAUGAGUCCCCACUGGUUUCUGGAACACCACGGGGUGGUCACGGCUCGAGGUGGCGGUGAGCACGGGGUGAGCAAGCAGCCUCAGCUCCGGCUGCAAGCAGCUGCCCCUCGAAGCCAGGGGACAGAUGUCAUUCAGAGAAAUGUGAGCUGGCCACCUGUGCAGCGAAGAAAAGGCUCAAGGUGA